CGGACGCUGUUGAAGAGCGCGACUCCAUACUGUUCUUCGUAAAACUGGCAGAAUUCUCCCAGCACCUUCCCGGUUUUCUCUGAAAUGUAGUGGCGCUGGCUC